UACGGAGGGAGCUAGCGUUGUUCGGAAUUACUGGGCGUAAAGCGCACGUAGGCGGCUAUUCAAGUCAGAGGUGAAAGCCCGGGGCUCAACCCCGGAACUGCCUUUGAAACUAGAUAGCUAGAAUCUUGGAGAGGUCAGUGGAAUUCCGAGUGUAGAGGGGAAAUUCGUAGAUAUUCGGAAGAACACCAGUGGCGAAGGCGACUGACUGGACAAGUAUUGACGCUGAGGUGCGAAAGCGUGGGGAGCAAACAGG
rnacentral:rRNA from 1 species